GGAGCAGGGCCGCUGUGAGGGGUCAGGGGGCAAAUUACCCCCAGUGAUCAAGGCAAACAUUUUGGCCUCGAUUUGAUGUUACUGAGAUCAAAACAAUAUGGCGGGAAUAAUCAUAACCCCAACGCUGGAAAUGAUGGGUACAAAUGUGGAAAACUUCCCAUACUCGAUGAAAUAUUGAAGAAUAUAUAUCAGUUCUGCGUUUGUUCUGGAGAUCAGUCAAAUACAAGUGAUGCACACUGUGACAGAUUCAAAUUGACGAUGCGCCCCGGUUCUUCAGCCCCGGAGCAGUUGAAGUGAAGCAAAGUAUUUUUACGAACUUUCGAACAUUCUAAAUAUAACGAGAAUAAUACAAGCUCUAGUGUUGAUUGAUCUAUUUUGUUGUUUUGUAAAAUUCAGGAUUACUUGAAUUUCACAUUAGAACCUUGUCGUUCGUUUUGUUAGCUUGAUAAUUCCGCAUUGAUACAAACAAAAAUACUAUAUGUGGCUUUGAUGUCCUAUCGAACCUCGCCCAGCAUUCGCUAAAUUGAAUGAUCGAUGCAAAUUACGUUAUCUUGACUUAAUUAUGAUGGCAAGCACACCAACGAUAACACCCUUCAUGUAGACAAACCCUGUUUAUGGUUUUCGUUUUAUUAAAUUUCCCCAUUAUAUUUUGUUAAAGUUUCAUUUGAAUUUUCCCCCGUUUUCCAUUGUAUUUUAUCUUAAAUUCUUUUGAAUUUCCCCCCGGAUUUCUAUUGUCUUCAGCUAGAAUUUCUAUAGAAUUUUAUCCGGUUUUCUCUUGUUUGUAAUCUUAAAUGCCUUUGAAUUCCCCCCCCCCCGUUUUUCUAUUGUGUUUCACCAAGAACCCUUUUGAAUUUCCCCCCGUUUUUCAUUGUUUUUGUCUUUAAUUCUUUUGAAUUUUCCCGCGGAUUUGUAUUGUCUUCUGUAAAAAUUUCAAUGGAAAUUCUAUUGUAUUACACCCCGGAUUUCUAUUGUAUUUGAUUGAUAAUUUUGUUGAAUUAGCCCCCGGAAUCUUGAAAUUUUCUACUGUUUAAAAA